rnacentral:rRNA from 1 species
AAUGAACGCUGGCGGCAGGCCUAACACAUGCAAGUCGAGCGGAGCGGCGGACGGGUGAGUAAUGCCUAGGAAUCUUCCUGGUCGUGGGGGAUAACGUCUGGAAACGGGCGCUAAUACCGCAUACUAUCAGAUGAGCCUAGGUCGGUUUAGCUAGUUGGUGGGGUAAGGGCCUACCAAGGCGACGAUCCGUAACUGGUCUGAGAGGAUGAUCAGUCACAAUGGAACGGAGACACGGUACAGACGACUACGGGAGGCAGCAGUGGGGAAUAUUGGACAAUGGGCGAAAGCCUGAUGCAGCCAUGCCGCGUGUGUGAAGAAGGUCUUCGGAUUGUAAAGCACUUUAAGUUGGGAGGCGUUACCAACAGAAGAAGCACCGGCUAACUUCGUGCCAGCAGCCGCGGUAAUUC